CAAGCUCUACUUCUGUACCAUCAUGGACAGCCGAAUGGGCAGGCACCUCAGUCCCUUGGUGGAUUUUUCCAGUAUUCUGACCUGGAGACUUAUAACGCGAUAUAUCCCUCAGGCUUGAAAGAGAUGCCAAUAUUGAUGCCCCAGCAACAGCUGAAGGAUCACCUGACCUCCGUUCAAGUUGCAAAAGUUUUCCCAGACUACUCUGGACCUCUGCACCCUUAACAGCAACAUCAGUCAUGAAUUGCUGAAAAAUAUAGGCAUGGUUCCCCA
rnacentral:misc_RNA from 1 species